CACUGAGCCGCUGUGGUUUAUGGCUUAGAGAUGACCCCAACCAGAUGUGUGGGACUCUGGUUCCCAUCGUUUCCUGCCAGAAUCUGGAGGGGCGUCAUUUGGACAAAGCCCGAGUAGGCUUCAGUAGAGGAACUGACGAGGUGGUUUGGAAGACUUGAGAGAGGAAGGAUUUCGUGGGAAAGGUAGAAAUCACCAUUAACUGUUUUCCUCUUAUAAUUUGAUUCAUGAAUUAGCUUCCCCAUGAAACUUUGCAGUUUAGUGGAUUCUCAGAAUUUUUAUACCAAAGAAGAACCCCUGGCAAGUGUACACAGCGUACACAUUAGACCAAUGUUGAAAAACACUGCUCUAUAGUGCAACAUGUUCCAAUGCUGUGCAUAGAAGGAGAAUCUCCAGGGCCAGCCAAGCCGUCUGCACAUGUUCAGAGGCAGACUAAUCAUUCCGCUGUCACCCAAAGCCUGGUGCUGUAACGCUUCCCGUUCAGUUUAAGUUAUUUUCAACUCUUGUCAACUCUCUAGCAUUACUUUUAUGGAGACCUCAAAAGCUCAAGCCUGCACUGCGGAAGCCGGUGCACACAUCUGAAGCCAAGGCGACCUAAAUCUUUUUUUUUUUUUUUUUAAGAAAGUACCAAAACAACCAGCCACAUUUUUAACU